rnacentral:rRNA from 1 species
UACGGAGGGUGCAAGCGUUAUCCGGAUUCACUGGGUUUAAAGGGUGCGUAGGUGGGACAGUAAGUCAGUGGUGAAAUCCCCGAGCUUAACUUGGGAACUGCCGUUGAUACUAUUGUUCUUGAAUAUCGUGUAGGUAAGCGGAAUAUGUCAUGUAGCGGUGAAAUGCUUAGAUAUGACAUAGAACACCAAUUGCGAAGGCAGCUUACUUUACGAUGAUUGACACUGAGGCACGAAAGCGUGGGGAGCAAACAGG